CGCUUUUCAGAAGUAAACAAUUUUAAGUCUUUUGCAUGUCAUUCAUUCGAUCACAUUUGCCACGAGGAGAAAAAUCGCCGACAGAAUUGCUAGUGUGAACUAGGCUUAAACGUGUUGUAUAUUUAUAUGUGAUAGAGAUUUCCUUGUUUACAUAAACUUUAACUAAAAUUAAAAUAUUCGCAAUGCGUGUUUUAUCAGACCUUAGCUAGUUAAUAAUUGUGCGGAUAUCUAUUUUUAUUUGGGUAAGAAUCUAAAAGCA